GCUAAACGCGAAGAACCUUACCUACCCUUGACAUGUCCGGAACCCUGGUGGGAGCCGGGGGUGCCCGAAAGGGAAUCGGAACACAGGUGCUGCAUGGCUGUCGUCAGCUCGUGUCGUGAGAUGUUGGGUUAAGUCCCGCAACGAGCGCAACCCUCAUCCUCUGUUGCUAACAGGUAAUGCUGAGAACUCUGAGGAAACUGCCGGUGAUAAGCCGGAGGAAGGUGGGGAUGACGUCAAGUCCUCAUGGCCCUUACACCCUGGGCUACACACGUGUUACAAUGGCAGUGACAAUGGGCCGCGAAGUCGCAAGAUGGAGCAAAUCCCCAAAAGCUGCCUCAGUUCAGAUUGUCCUCUGCAACUCGAGGGCAUGAAGUCGGAAUCGCUAGUAAUCGUAGAUCAGCAUGCUACGGUGAAUACGUUCCCGGG
rnacentral:rRNA from 1 species